AGCGAACGCUGGCGGCAGGCCUAACACAUGCAAGUCGAACGAACUCUUCGGAGUUAGUGGCGGACGGGUGAGUAACACGUGGGAACGUGCCUUUUGGUUCGGAAUAACUCAGGGAAACUUGUGCUAAUACCGAAUGUGCCCUUCGGGGGAAAGAUUUAUCGCCAUUAGAGCGGCCCGCGUCUGAUUAGCGAGUUGGUGAGGUAACGGCUCACCAAGGCGACGAUCAGUAGCUGGUCUGUGAGGAUGACUAGCCACACUGGGACUGAGACACGGCCCAGACUCCUACGGGAGGCAGCAGUGGGGAAUCUUGCGCAAUGGGCGAAAGCCUGACGCAGCCACGCCGCGUGAAUGAUGAAGGUCGUAGGAUUGUAAAAUUCUUUCACCGGAGACGAUAAUGACGGUACCCGGAGAAGAAGCCCCGGCUAACUUCGUG
rnacentral:rRNA from 1 species